UACGUAGGGCGCAAGCGUUAUCCGGAAUUAUUGGGCGUAAAGAGCUCGUAGGCGGUUUGUCGCGUCUGCCGUGAAAGUCCGGGGCUCAACUCCGGAUCUGCGGUGGGUACGGGCAGACUAGAGUGAUGUAGGGGAGACUGGAAUUCCUGGUGUAGCGGUGGAAUGCGCAGAUAUCAGGAGGAACACCAGUGGCGAAGGCGGCUACCUGGACCGGUUCUGACGCUGAGGCGCGAAAGCGUGGGUAGCAAACAGG
rnacentral:rRNA from 1 species